rnacentral:rRNA from 1 species
AUACGUAGGUGGCAAGCGUUGUCCGGAAUUAUUGGGCGUAAAGCGCAUGUAGGCGGUAAUUUAAGUCUGUCGUGAAGCUGCGGGGCUCAGCCCCGUAUGGCGAUGGAAACUGGGUUACUUGAGUGCAGGAGAGGAAAGGGGAACUCCCAGUGUAGCGGUGAAAUGCGUAGAUAUUGGGAAGAACACCGGUGGCGAAGGCGCCUUUCGGGACUGUGCCUGACGCUGAGAUGCGAAAGUCAGGGUAGCGAACGGGAUUAGAUACCCCGGUAGUCCUGGCCGUAAACGAUGGGUACUAGGUGUGGGAGGUAUCGACCCCUUCCGUGCCGGAGUUAACGCAAUAAGUACCCCGCCUGGGGAGUACGGCCGCAAGGCUUAAACUUAAAGGAAUUGACGGGG